UUUACUUUGAGAAAAUUAGAGUGCUUAAAGCAGGCAUAUGCCUUGAAUACUUCAGCAUGGAAUAAUAUUAAAGAUUUUUAUCUUUCUUAUUGGUUCUAAGAUAGAAAUAAUGAUUAAUAGGGACAGUUGGGGGCAUUUGUAUUUAACAGUUAGAGGUGAAAUUCUUAGAUUUGUUAAAGACAAACUAGUGCGAAAGCAUUUGCC
rnacentral:rRNA from 1 species